GCUGCUCCAGGAGGAGGCAGCGCAUCAAACCAAGAGCGCGCGUGGAGGAAAGGCCGCGGGGCCCCUGUGCCCGGAGCUUCUUCGUCUCGGGGUGCCGAGUGUCUUCUAACUGAAAGAGACCCAGCCCUGCGGUGGGUCAGGCCUGGAAGGACCGUGUGGGUCCCAGAGGCACACGGGAGGCAGCCGGGUCGAGGUGCCUCCGGGUGCCGUGUCUGACCGGAGCUGCCAGCGCUCCCGGGCCGUGGGGCCUCGGCCAGCUGGCUGGGCCGUGGCGCUCAGCAGCAGGGGGCUCUUCUCGCAGCCUCCGGCGAGCUCGGGGAUGCCGACACUCCCGCUGGGACCCCUGGCUGCCCCAUCUUGGGCAUGAGGCGGUUGGGCUUGGCGAGAGGGGCAGGUGCCAGAGGGCGUGCCAGCCAGUCGAGAAAAGGUGCCAGAGGGGCGGGUAGGGCCGGGCAGGUGGCGGUGCUUCGGCGGCGGCGCCCUGGGAGCUGGGAGGGCGGGUCGCGCUCACCUGGGUCAUGAGGCGGUCGGCGCCCGUGUUCUCCUCGUCCUUGAAGAUGAUGUCGGGAUUGUAAUUGGGGAGCUCAGCACCCCGCAGUCAUCUCUAUUUUGAAGAGAACAAGAAAAAGCUACCUCUCUGCAUAACCUGAUGAAUACUAAUUUGUUUUUUUUUUUUGCUCACAAGAGUGAAAGUUGGAAAAAUAGUCUGGAAGACCAACCCUGCUCUAAAGCCAUGGUGCGGAGCCACAAGCAAACAAGUGUCGGGAAUGCAGUUAGUGACCUACCCUCCGGGAGCUCCGUGCACGGCGGCUGUGGCUAGUAGAGGAAGCACUGGGCCUGGACUUGGCAGAUCUGUGCCUGGACACUGUCUUUGGUACCUGCAACCUGCAUGGCCUUGGGCAAGUCCCUGGACUUCUCUACAUUUGCAUUUUCUCAUCUAUAAAGUGAAAAUACCACCUACCCCAUAGGGUUCAUGAGAGGGUUAAAAUACAAGCUGCAAGUACAGAUAUUAUGUAGAAUUCAUUGCUCUUCUCUGCUGGGCCCACUAGCAGUAGUCCCAGUUCGCUGGUGCCUAUUGCCCAUGUAGGGGGGUAGUCAGGAUGCUCGUGUAUGUGUGCCCCAAGACAGCAGUGGGGAUUAGGAGGCCCUAGUUCUUUCUACUAGGGAGCAUCUGCCUUGUGUACACCGGUAUAGUAGGUACCUAAGGACAGAAAGUGCAAACAGAAAAGUAGAAGAUACGGUCAUUGUCCUCUGGGCAUUUACUAUUUAAACCUAAAGACACAUCACGAAAAUAACAGGCAGUGACAAAACCAUGAACACCACUCAUGAAUGACCACAGAAUAAUGUAUGAGAAACCAGUUAAUAGAUAAGAUGAACUUGGUCUAGAAGAAUAUGGAGCUAAGAAACAAUCAUGUACACCCAAAACUAAUGUAAUAUUGAAUGUCCACUGUAACUGAAAAAAAAUUUAAUUAAAAAGAAAAAAGAAAAGAAACAAUGAGUCCGGAGUGAGAUGUCUUGGAGAAAAUCAGUGUUGAAGGAGGGACAGGAAUGAUGACAAGAAUGAAGAUCCUCAGAAAAGGGCAGCCAGC